rnacentral:rRNA from 1 species
UACGGAGAGUGCAAGCAUUAAUCGGAAUUAUUGGGCGUAAAGGGCGCGUAGGCUGAAAGAUAAGUCAGAUGUGAAAUUCCGAAGCUCAACUUCGGAGCUGCAUUUGAAACUAUCCUUCUAGAGGAUUGACGGAGAAAACGGAAUUCCACGUGUAGCGGUGAAAUGCGUAGAUAUGUGGAAGAACACCGGUGGCGAAAGCGGUUUUCUAGUUAAUACCUGACGCUGAGGCGCGAGAGCAAGGGGAGCAAACAGG